rnacentral:rRNA from 1 species
CACUUGGCCAUACUAGCUUGUUAAAGCUUGAUCUUGUCAGAUCUCAGAUGCUAAGCGAGGCUGACCUGGUUAGUACUUGGAUGGGAGAAGACUGGGAAUACCAGGUGUCACAGUGG